rnacentral:rRNA from 1 species
GGGGGUACAGCCCCUUUAAAAAAGGAUACAACCUCCACCAGGGGAUAACCCCCAUGUACCUAGACUCGUGGGCCUUAAGACAGUCACCCCCAAAGGAUAGUGUCACAGCUCUAUUACCUAAAAAUCGCAACCACCUACCUGUGACUCCCUACAUCCAUUGUAGGCCAAUAUAUAUAGAUAAGUGAGUCCAAGCUAGAGUGAGUAGGAAGGAAUGUCUCUCCCACUAAGAGUCAGCAGACAGUUGAUAGCGAGCCGUCCAUCAAUAACACACUCCCUCCCCUAUUUAAUAAAUACUGUCUAUCCAACCAAGGGAGGGACGCUGGAUUGAGUGAACUCAGCCUACGGAAGGCGCCCGACCUAAGUAACAACUGUCUGUCUACCACAUACAUAUCAUCCAGCCAAGCAAUGGA